UCAUUACCAUAGCCUGUCCCAAGCCGACACUACUUGCACGGUUAAACUGUCACUGGACACAGAUGAGCUGAAAAUUUGCAAAGGCACCCACUGCGAGAAGUGGCGGCACCAUCACUGAAUUACUAGUGUGGAUGGGCAACAUGCAGGCGGCGAUGCUUUGCUAUGAGCAACAUUGUGGUAAUGCAGAUUGUGAUGCUACACUGUUUUUCAUCAUUGGACGUUUGCACAGAAAGAGCACUACAGAAAGAGUGCUAGCUGUCGGGAAGCUCACUCUCAACCACAGUAUUCUUUUCCUUUUUUUUUCAUUUUUCAUAGUUGUUCUCUGCGUCUAUUUGGCCUGUAUCGUCCUUAAUCACUUAACUUAUUAUUGCAUCACAUACCUUGUGCUGCAAUUUCAUAUCAAUUCAUCUACGAUUUUCAUGUAACAGUGUAGACUGGUCUGCACUUCGCGGAAAACUCUCAAUCAUAAACUAGAAGGUAUGUUUAGUAUUACAUUUUCUUUUGAUUUAAAGCAAGUUGUUGACGAAUUCGCUAGAACACAGUGUAACUAUAGAUCUGUUGUUGGAUAGUUUUUUUCUUUAGUUGCCACAUUACUGCCACAUACAGUUGUGAUGUAUUUCCUGGCGUAUCCGGCCAGCAAGCACUCUUAAUGUGUAGCAUUCUUAGGGUACUUCGCACACUUUCCAAGGGCCAUGUAUCUAUCUAUGUUUGUUUGUAUCUAUGUUUGGUAACCUUGUUUUUGUUUUUACAGCGAAAUGUAGAACCAUUUCAAAGUCCUCAUAAAUUAAUGCAUUCAGCAUUUCAUUUUGAGCAGAAUGAAAAAGAGGGAAAGAAAUAACCUUCUUGGGAGACGCUACAACCAAAAAACACUUUUGCACGUUACAAUCAGAAAUGGGUAAUAAAAUUCUGACAAUAUUGUGAUCCAAGAUCCAACGGCAGAAAAAAAAAAGUGGCAUAACAAGUAAAACUGCGCGGAAUAAACACUAAGUCUAGGAUAGAGCUCGAACGGCCCUGCAUUCGAGUUGCUUUAUUUACGACUCGAAUAAGGUUAUGCAAAUCCUAAUGUUAUAAAGAAUAUGCACGUGGUUGCUUGGAUACACUCCAGAAUAUACUCGUUCCCAGUCAAUGUCUGGGAUAUUAGAAUUGCCAACUAAAAGCAUUUUACUAUUUGCAUACUGAUGCAUGGGUACUUGUGGGUGACACAUCUGGUUGGUCUGUACAUUGCAUAUAGAAUAAAAGUGUUCCUCCAACAAGAGAGUUUUAUGCAUAGGCACUCUAGUUAGGGUAAAUUGGGCAGCAAGACAGCACCAAAUCGCUUUUUUAAUAAGCACUGCUACUCCACCACUUCUAGUUAACGUUUGUAGAAAACAGUAUAUGACAGUUGGAAAAAGUAUUCAUUGAUGAUUUUAUAGUGAUAGGGGGAUUAUGCUACAAUGAUAUUCUAAAUUCCUCAGAUUUAUUCUUAGCACCACAGGAGUUUAAAUGGGCGGUUUGCAAAAUAGCAAGCGCCAUCUGGUGCACAACAGGCAAAGCUUCAGUACUCUGCACGCGAGAGUAUCUGCUUACAAAGCAAGUUUCGUUUCUGUCUUCUGUCUGGCCUCUGCCAUGACAACUGCAUAUGUUCACUGUGGCAAAAAUAACUGAAGAACCAUCACUACAUGCCAGUUUUCAAGCAUGUCAUGGACCUCCGACUUCUCGAAGCGUACCAUUCAAACUGAUCGUAUAUGGCAGUAUCUACUUUCUAUAACUGCCACUAUUCACCAGGCUCAUAGAGGCUUGGCACUGAAGAAAGAUUACAUUAAAGAUAUUGUAUAUUUGGAGGCAGCUGAUGCCAGCAUAGGGCUGAUGCGAACGGCAUGGGCUCCUUCAACAAAGAACAGAGUGCAUGUCAUCGAAACACACUGCCAAUGUGUCGCCGAGUGUCCACACUUUGUUUGGCAGACUGGCCACGCGCAGUGACCACCAUGCAAGGCCUUAUUUGCUCUUUGCUGCCGACAGAGUAUAGAGAGAACCAGCUCUGUGUUCAUUUAACCGCGACAUAAUUGUCCAGAUGCUAAAAUGCUCAUGAAAAUAAACACUUUACCACUCGCAGCGUUUUCAUUUGAAGUGCCAUCGACUGCUGCUUCGACAGCCGGGAGCUAGGCCUACUGGCUCGAGUGAUCGGCGGCUGCCGACAAAGUCAGUGAGCGGGAUGCUCCGCUUAAGAGAGUUUACCGUACUAAUAUGGCCCAUUGGUAACAAGGCAAAGUUUCAUUGAGCUGUUUAUCUUAUUACGCCGGUCCUUUCUCGCGUAUGGUAAAUAGGGAAUGUCUCAAACAGCGCGCCGUUUUCUCGACUGUAUGUACUAACUGCCACCAAUGAAGAUGGUAGACCUUGCUCACUGGCCGUGGGUGUUGCCGGUUACGAAGAAGCUUCCGCUAGCAGUAACGCAUAGCUUCUUUCAAACACUUUAAAGCAUGCUUGAAUAAUAAGAGGCUAAAUGAAAAAUACAUUUAGAUAUUUGUACACUGCCAACAGAAAAGAGCAAAUCGGGUGAACUCCAUCGGACAGUGGUCAUUCCGCACAGCCCUUCGGCGACACCAACUGCCCUCGGAUGGUAUCUUUAGAUCACUCCAGUGGCGUAGUACUGGCCACUGAUUGUCAUGUCAGGCACACUUUCAACAUUAUAAUAUUUAUUGUAAUUACAUGCCAGCAACAACUGAGUGACACCACUGCACUUUCGCAAGCUCUGUCCGUCCUCGUCCAUCUUGAGCUUUCCACAUUUUUGGCAAAAUGCAGCUGCGUUUAAGGGUUUCUCGAAGCUUGCAGGCUGAAAUAACCUCGUGGCGCUGGCGUAUGACAAUUCAGUCGCCCAAGCAGUGUGAUGAGAAUCGGCUCUGCGAGGAGCAAGCAAGUUGUAUGCUGUGAUGGCAUCGCCAGCCGUUGCUUAUCCAUGCUGCUUGCCUCGCUGGAUAACUGUUCUCGGACGGAAACCGAAAUAAACUUGUGCUCCGUUUGCUAGUGAAGCACUUUGUGUGCAAUAUGCAACACAACUAGCCGGCCUUUUCUUGAAAAUACCGCGAUCCAAACCACCACAAACCGGUGUCUCAAAGCACGCUAUAGGGCUGCGUUGCUUGUUCAUCUGAUUCUCGUUUAUAACCAAGUAGAGGACGCUCGUGACAGCCAUGUUCGCGCAUGCGCAACAGCAUUUUUGCAAACCAUCCAUUGACCAAGUGGAGCUCCUUCUGCACCGUCAUCAUAUUGCGUCGUUCCUGUGAUAGUUCCUUCCGCUCGCUCAUGAGGCUUGACUUUCUGUUCUGUUUGUCAGCCCAUUUGUGCAUAUCUUUAUCAACCUUUGGUUUGUUGUUCUACAAGCUCUCUUCCCUCGCUGUUUGUCGCCUUUUGCACUAUCCCAAGGCAGCUUGCGUUUUUAAAAGUAGCUUGUGAAUAGUCAUCCUAAAGUCGUGACUCGCAAUUUAAGUGACCACUUACCACUUUUUUGCAUGGUUCCAAAAGCAUUUACCCAUUCAACCGAAUCUUUAAAUUUUGUUACAACCAUGUGAGUUAUAAUGCAGGACGGCAUUCAAUGCCUCUGUUAGCUAGUAUUUUUCAGUGAAUUAGAAGGAAUUUUAAUAAUGUUAAAAGUGACCCUAGUGCAUUGCAUGAGACCAUCAUAAUUGAACUGUGUGGUAAAACGUUCCCAGUGGCCGAAGCACAAAAAGGCUAUGAAGCCUUAGUGUAUCUGGUCCAUUUUCUGUUGCAUUUCUAAAUAUGAACUCUUUAACAAGUUUUCAUUUAGUAGAGACAUAGAAGUUUGGAAAAAUAUAAAAAGUAUGGAAAUCUGCUAAGUGAGUGCAUUAAAAAGAAAUUGGUACUGCAUGAACAAAUACUCUGAAAUCUAUUUCAAUCCCCCCCAAAAAUUGGCGUACUUUCACGGACCUGAAAACACGGAUACUAGCUGUUGGGAUGCGCAACUCUCACGUGUCCCCCGAUAUGUUGCUUUCCCGCAUAGCUCCCGUUUCCUGUAAUCCGGCUUCGCCGCUUGGCUUGAUGGCCACGGCAGUCAGUGUGGUUGAAGCGCAGUACAAGAGAUGGUGCGAACGUUGCGCUGCUAACGCCACCUAACGGCGGGGUUACUUGGGCGCAGAAAGGAGAAGGCUUUUCCUCUUGGGUUCGAGGUCAGCAAGCGAUGCGGACAUUCCGCGCGUGCGCCGAUCCAUGCUUCUGCGAGACCAUCUCGCGAGCCUCGUUCUAACGUGCCACCGUUCGCAUGAUCGUACACGCGAACGACCAGGCGUUGGUGUCCAGCAUGGGGCGAACAUAUUCGCUCGUUAUCCGGUUGCGGUGAGUUGGACUUCCUAGAUUUGUUGCGCACCCAUCGGCAUGUUUUGGGGAUAGCAACUCGGCUAGCAGGCAUUGAUCUAUGAAAGGUGCAAUAAAUAGCCUUGUGAUUGUUUGCAUUACUGUGUUGUCGUUCCUUUGUCCCAAGAGCACGGGUGAGAACCCCACAUCUGGCACCCAACGUGGGGCUCUUAGGGCAUCGGACGAUAGUUUGAACAGUUUUGCUUUAUUCGAGACCUUUGUUUGAACCGAAGCAUAGGGCUAGCAUGGAUUUUGAUCACUAGCAUCAGCGGCGUGCUUUCUUGAGCGAGGCAAAUGAUGGCUGUAGUGUGUGUGAACUUGUCAACAUGCUAAGCCUUUUCACAAGUGUUUUUUUUUUUAAUGACAUUUGUCGGUAUGAGAGCCACGUGGUCGAUAUCCUGGAAGAGCGAGGCUUAGCGCCCACGGAGCAUUGGCAAGCCUGAAGCGAGUGAGUACGGAAGCCGGGUGGUCCGAAUUUCUUAUGUAAAUAGCUUCUUCUAUCUCUUUGACUCUGAUGAAGUUGCGGCUGUGGGAGCCAGGUGGCCGCGGGUCACGGGUGCCGCUAUGGGCCGACUGGUAUUGUGGCCUGGCACCGGAUGCUUCGGCACCAUCUGGGAUGGUGGACACCGUCAACUCGGAUGCUGUGUGCACGAGCGGGGUAGGGUCACCUAACAGAGAGCUGACGUCUCCUCAUGGCUACCUGUCUUGCGCCCAUUUUGGGUGUUGUUUUUUGGAUGCCGAUUUUUGUCAGGGUAGCGAUGCUUUAGGCCUAAGGCUUUGUGAAGCUGCCUGUCGCACCUGGAAGGACACAACCUGGUGGACCGUGGUGUUGAGGUGUUGCACUUUGCUUCCCUCAUUCUAUUUAGCCUCGCACGGAUUGAGAUUACUUGUUCGACACAAGGACGCGAGCUUCGUUCCUGUGAACUUAGCAUCUGAGUAGGUGCCCGAUCUUUUGCUAGCCGAGUUGAAAUCGUACCACGUGGGCGAUGCGCAUGCAGAAUUUCUCUCCUUUGCACUACUUUAGUAUUUGCCGAGUGCGUUGAGUGUACGCAGCGCGAUUGGAGUCACCCCUGGUUUGCUGUCAACUGCACAUCGUCUGCGCUGCUGCCCCGGACUACGAUCGAGCCACUCCGGACAAUGGUGAUGCUGUGGCCAGUUCGGCGCAGUGACUUCGGCGGCCACCUGUAUCCAGCUCGCAACCCUCGGCGGCAGAGAAAAGUGCCGGCGGUCACCAACAGCUUCUCCGGCUCUUGCCAGCAGGGCGCGUCGGCGCGAGCGACAAUUGCUCGUACCGACUACUGCAUCGCCGUUUCCGAAGUCCUGGCCUGGAAUUGUGCCGUCGAGUCUGCAGAGCUGCUGCUGUGACGAGUGGACGCCAGCGGUGUAUCCCACGGACAAUGCGGCUCGCAUGUUAUGGACACCGUGUGGACAUUUCCUCGGGGCGGCCACUGUUGCAUGUACUACCUUGUUCGCGAAGCACACAUUGAUGUUAGACCAUGUGACAUGUUUCGCCGGUAUAGACCAGAACACGCUAGUCUCGCACCCAGACUAACCGAACGCAUACUCUCGCACCCGGGUUGCCCGGUCGACCCGACUGGGCUGCCAAAGUGUGUUCGCCGGCGACCAGUAGACAUGGCAAGCGCCAGCUCUAGGGCUCCAAAGUGCGGAAAUGUGCCCGUUCACACGGAUCCAAAGUACAAGAGGUCAUCUGGGCAUCAUUGCGUCGUAUUUGGAUGCCAAAACAACCAGCGGAAAAGGAGCAGGUUGCUUAGCGCUGUUUGCGAAGAGCACAACACACGUAGGGAAUCGUGCCGGUGCGGUGUUUUCAGCCUGCACCGAUUUCCAUCCGCAACGAAGAAUGCCAAGCUGCGCCACCGGUGGAUAGCUGCAGUGAAUAGGAAGAACUACCAACCUAGUGAAAAUGCACGAGUUUCCUCCGAGCACUUUCUGGGCAACAAGCCUACAGAACAGAAUCCCGUGCCGGUGCUUCGCCUUGGCUAUAACAAAAAGGUGGUGAAGGGCAGGCGUCUGCUAACCAGGCAGUCAAACGACCUCGCCAGUUGGUUGCCAAACGCGGCCAACCCAGUAGAGACCAUGACAAACAAGACCAAACUGAAAGUGCAGAUGACAGUGUUCUGCGUGCUUUAAUAAUAUAUGGCACCAACACAGUGCUGUAAAUUCCUUCACAGGUUACGUGCCAAAAAGCUCACACGUGUUCUAGCAUAUAGCGCGCGGUUUGUACAAACGUAAUAGCGUACCUACACGAUGUAUUCGCUUCUGCAGUCUGCACAGCACUCUGUGUGGCCAUUGCGGACUUGCAUGAGGUCUUGAAGUUUGAUUGAAUCCAGACGGCGAAAAUGACAGGUUAGAAAAAACGCGGAACACGCCUUCCGUUCAGCUAAAAAGCCCAAGUUUCGCUUUCGCGCCGGGUCGCAUCUCCCGGCAUGGCAGCCCAGGCCUGCUACUUCGCGGCGCUUGGGAUAGAUGGCGCGACCGGCGCUCAUCAAUAUGGCGGCGCCCUUUGAAUUCACGGUGUUCUGGUGUAUACGUAGUGAGUUAAGGUUGGGGGGAUGUGGGGAUGCGCGACUCUCACGCGUCCCCUGAUAUGUUGUUUUUCCGCAUAGCUCCCUUCUCUGGUAAUCCAGCUUUGCCGCGUGGCCUGAUGCCCGUGGCAGUUGGUCUGGUGGAAGCGCAGUAGGAGAGAUGGCGCGAGUCUUGCACUGCUAACGCCGCCUAACGACAGGGUUACUUGGGCGUGGAAAGGAGAAGGCUCUUCCUCUUUGGUUCGAGGUCGUCAAGCGGCGCGGACAUUCUGUGCGUGCGCCGAUCCAUGCUUCUGCAAUACCAUCUCGUGACCCUCGUUCUAAUGCGCCACCGUUCGCGUGACCAUACGCGCGAACAACCAGGCGUUGGUGCCCAGCAUGGGGUGAACAUAUUCGCUCAUUAUUUGGUCGCUGUGAGUCGGACUUCCUAGAUUUGUUGCACGCCCAUCAGCAUGUUUUGGGGAUAGCAACUCGGCUAGCAGGCAUUGAUCAAUGAAAGGUGCAAUAAAUGCCCUUGUGAUUGUUCGCACUACUGCGUUGUCAUUCCUUUGUCCCAAAAGCACGGGUGAGAACCCCACAUAGCAUGCCCACUUAAAUCAUACUAGGUGAUGAGACUGCAACUAGUAAAGACCUCGCUAAUGAAUUUAACUGACAUUUUGGGACAUCUCAGGAAUUCGGAUCGCCUAAUAAGGCAAACCAGUAAAUGCAAUUCAGUGUGCC